rnacentral:rRNA from 1 species
AACGAACGCUGGCGGCGCGCCUAACACAUGCAAGUCGAACGAGAAGGCGUAGCAAUACGCUUGUAGAGUGGCGAACGGGUGAGUAAUACGUGGGUGACCUACCCUCGAGUGGGGAAUAACCCGCCGAAAGGCGGGCUAAUGCCGCGUACGCUUCCGUCCUCACGGGGACGGAAGGAAAGCUGUACCGUGGGUACGGCGCUCAAGGAUGGGCUCACGUCCUAUCAGCUUGUUGGUAGGGUAACGGCCACCAAGGCUACGACGGGUAGCUGGUCUGAGAGGACGAUCAGCCACACUGGCACUGCGACACGGGCCAGACUCCUACGGGAGGCAGCAGUGAGGAAUAUUGCGCAAUGGGCGAAAGCCUGACGCAGCGACGCCGCGUGGGGAUGAAGGUCUUCGGAUUGUAAACCCCUUUCGGGAGGGAGAUGGACGGGCACCGUUCGGCGGUACCUCCAGAAGCAGCCACGGCUAACUUCGUGCCAGCCGCCGCCGU